rnacentral:rRNA from 1 species
CGGACGGGUGAGUAAUGCGUGACCAACCUGCCCCAUGCUCCAGAAUAGCUCUUGGAAACGGGUGGUAAUGCUGGAUGCUCCAACUUGACGCAUGUCUUGUUGGGAAAGUGUUUAGUGGCAUGGGAUGGGGUCGCGUCCUAUCAGCUUGUAGGCGGGGUAAUGGCCCACCUAGGCUUCGACGGGUAGCCGGCCUGAGAGGGCGGACGGCCACAUUGGGACUGAGAUACGGCCCAGACUCCUACGGGAGGCAGCAGAU